rnacentral:misc_RNA from 1 species
UCCUCCGCUGCGGCACCGCCGCGCGGGCGGCGCGACCUGGUCCAGGCCUCCCCGAUCCCGGGUGGGGAUCGAUCGCACCUGUUACGAGGCGUGCCAGGACACACCUGUGCGGCGUGGUCCAGCGGCGUUCCUCGAGGACGUCAGCCCUCCUCGACUCUCGAGGGCCGCUUGUGGAAGGGCGUUUGUUUUGGACCCUCGCUACUUCAGGCACGCGACACGAUUACUCUGCGGUCGAUGCCGCGACCGGAACUCCGGACAACUGGAUGCGGAAAGUGCCCCUGAACGAUGAUCUCUCGGAUCAGCUUUACUCCUUCUUCCUGUGCCUGGAGCAGACACUGACGAUAUGGACACAGUAUGGCUUCAGCACUCUGGCAUGCCUCUGGGAGUAGUUUCGUUUCACUCGCCGUCCUCGCUCUCCUGCUAUUUUGUCCACGGACCACCACAGCCCAUGAGGUUGUCAAUGUGCCACUGCCACAGCAGGACUACGUUCCGUCACUGCCACCACCACCGGGACCAUUCACCACUGCCAAAACUCCAAAGUGCGACCAGAAAUUCGUGAGCAGUCCCGAUGGCCUGCAAAAUGGAACUUUCCAAGCCCCGACUUUGAUCAAUCCAGACAGGGAGCCUCGACAGUGCGUUUACACUUUUCUGGCCCAGCCUCAUGAACGGGUCGAGCUGGUUUUCACGAAUUUCGGACUUCGAGGAACACCGCCGGAUGGAUCGGCCGUUGGAGAGCUACCCGCUUGCUUCCACGAAUAUAUGGACGUUUACACGGAGAUACGAUCGGAGAAUACGACUAAGCUGAUAGAGACGCCAUUCGGGGGUCGUUUCUGCGGCCCUAUUCCACCUCGAAGACGAGUCUCUCUCUAUCAAGGAAUCGCCCUUAGCUUCUACUCCGAUAAGAACAUCACCCUGCCGGAUCUCUUCGGGGGUCGCUACACCUUCAUCAAUGCAUCCGAAUACGAAGUCGGGACACCGGAGCCGAGCAUGCCGUGCAGCUUCACGGUAGAUGCGGAACACAAACGCAGCGGAAAUAUACUCUCGCCGACGUAUCCUGGGACGUAUCCCAAGGACCUCGUCUGCAGCUAUCAGUUUAUCGGGAAGCCUGGUCAGAGAGUCAGGUUGGAAUUUCGGGAUUUCGACCUCUUCUUCGGAGGACCUCACUGUCCUUUCGACUACGUCAAGGUCUACGAUGGAUCCAACGAUACAUCCGCCGUAAUCGGCACUUAUUGCGGCCAGCAACGAAAUCUCGUGCUCUACUCGUCGGAGGCCAAUCUCUUCGUCUUAUUCGUCACCCUGGAACGCACGGCCAACACACAGAACCGCGGCUUCAAGGGCAUCUUCGAGUUCUCGGAGAGCUUCGUCAAGCUCGACUUCAUCGUCAACUAUGACGGCGAGCACAUCCGGGGAUCCGAGUGCGACCAGAAGAUCCUGAGUAAAAAGGAGUCCUCAGGGUUUGUGGUCAGCCCGAAUUUCCCCUACCCUUACGUCCCAAAGGUCGUGUGUCGAUACUUCAUCUACGGGAUGCAAGAUUCUCAACACCUGGAGCGGGUUCGGCUCAACUUCACUCAGUUCGAGAUAACUAAGGGCGAGACCAAGGGAGACUCGGCCUGCACCGAUGGGUACCUGAAGCUGUACUUGAAGGGCCAGGAGGCGACGGAUUCCUACGACAAAUUCGACUAUGAACUUUGCGGCAACAGUAUUCCGAGCCAUGUAGUUAGCGAUGGGCCGCGGCUCGUUAUGGUCUUCAGCAGCGGAGAGUUGCAGGGCAGGGGUUUCAAGGCGAGGUACAACUUCGAGACCGAAUACAGGAUACCUGGCACGGCAGCUCCCGAUGGCAGCUGCCUCUUCACUUAUCGCAGUUCCUCGCGCAAGAAAGGGGAAUUCAAUUCCCCUAGAUAUCCUAGUAAUUACCCCAGCGACACGGAUUGCACCUACCUCUUCCUGGCGACGCCCAACGAGCAGGUUACCCUGGUCUUCGACCACUUCAAGGUCCGCACGAGGAACACGAACCUGACCGUUGGCUUUUACGGCUCCCAACUCUGCCAGGACGACUGGGUCGAGAUCUACAACAUGUACCGCGACAACACCGAGAAGCUGAUCGGCAGGUACUGUGGAAUGACUUCUCCUGGCCCUGUCGAGUCCAACCUGGGAGCUCUGGGCUUGAAAGUCAUUUUACACUCGGACUCCGAGCUGGUGUAUAGCGGCUUCAAGGCUCGCUACACCUUCGAGGUCGCCAAGUCCAUCUUCGGAGACUGCGGCGCCAAUAUCAGCAGCCUGGACUACGGGAUGAUCACCAGUCCCAACUUCCCCAACAAGUACGACGGACCUGCUCGAAAUCUGGCCAGUAAAACCUGCAACUGGUUCAUCAGCGUCAAGCCGAACCACCAGAUCUUGCUCAACUUCGAGCUCUUCUCCGUGGAGGGCGAACAGUCGGUCCGAGGCUGUCCAGCUGCGGUUCUAAGAAUGUGGUCCUCAGUGUCGGAUCCGCCAAUCGAAUUGUGUGGAGUCAAGACUCCCGACACCAAGUGGACCUACCUCUCGGAUGACAACAACAUGCGCCUUAGCUUCAUCUCGGCGGACAAGGCGGUCGGUCAGCAAGGCUUCCGAGCUGUCUGGACGGAGGUGACCGUCGGCGAAGAUUGCCCGAGCCAGUUUUUAUGCAGCAGAAACAAAUACUGCAUAUCGGAGAGACUUCGCUGCAACGCGAUCGACAAUUGCGGCCCUGAAGACACGUCCGACGAGGAGAACUGUGCAGCAUCGGCCCCGUUGGCACCAGCACUCACAGGAGUCUCUGCCACGCUUCUUCUCUCUCUGUGCUUUGUGUUCGUGGCCAUCUGAGCCCCUCUCGAGGCUCCCGACGAUCCGGCAUGUUAUGAUCUCCCUUAACAAGUAAAAUGGUGGCUCCGCCGGACAAUUACGCAGUUCCCGUGGGGUGCGCGGCAGGUGCCGUCCUGAUGGUGGUGCUCCUGUGCCUGGUGUGUCACCAGAGGUUGAGGAGACGAGGU